UACGUAGGUGGCAAGCGUUGUCCGGAUUUACUGGGCGUAAAGAGCGCGCAGGCGGUCGUCCAAGUCGCGUGUGAAAGCCCCCGGCUCAACUGGGGAGGGUCACGCGAUACUGGUCGACUCGAAGGCAGGAGAGGGUAGUGGAAUUCCACGUGUAGCAGUGAAAUGCGUAGAGAUGUGGAGGAAUACCGAUGGCGAAGGCAGCCCCCUGGGAUAACACUGACGCUCAUGCACGAAAGCGUGGGGAGCAAACAGG
rnacentral:rRNA from 1 species